AAGUCGUAACAAGGUCUCCGUAGGUGAACCUGCGGAGGGAUCAUUAACACUAUUUGGCUGUAGUGCAUGUCAGCAAUGGCAUGCCUGCAGUUCAAAUUCUAACCACACUGUUGAACUCGGUUACCUCGCGUAACCAAUCCUCCCUUUGAAUUGGAAGCGUUAAUGUUAGUUUAUAGUGGGAUGAGCAAUCAUCGACUAACAUUAGCUAUCAAAGCUUGACUUUGAAGUUUCCUUUUCUUAGACAAUUCCACUUAAAAUUUCCUCCACUAUAGAAAUGAACCCAUUUCACACCUUCGUACUCCAAUUGACUGAUCAAAGAAUGCUAAAGAGACCCGCAAGGGAAUCGAUAGCAGGACUAAGAUAAUUCUUAAACUAAGCACAACUCUUAGCAACGGAUAUCUUGGCUCUC
rnacentral:misc_RNA from 1 species